rnacentral:rRNA from 1 species
GACGGAGGGUGCGGGCGUUAUUCGGAAUCAUUGGGCGUAAAGGGCGUGUAGGUGGUCUGAUAAGUCAGGUGUGAAAGCCCUUGGCUUAACCAAGGAAGUGCAUCUGAAACUAUCAGACUUGAGUACGGGAGGGUGAAGUGGAAUUCCUGGUGUAGAGGUGAAAUUCGUAGAUAUCAGGAGGAAUACCGGUGGCGAAGGCGACUUCCUGGACCGAUACUGACACUGAUACGCGAAAGCGUGGGGAGCAAACAGG